AACAAUACAAAAAGGGAAGCCAUCAUCUUCAUAUAUCUACAAACAUACAACACAUACAAUUUCCAUUAAAAAUACACAUGCAAAUGACUUAGGGGGAGGGAGCUCUUGAUUCUUUUCCAUUUUGGGUUCCCAACAGACGUGCACAGAUCUGGCGCACACACACAUUGAUCGAGAAAUCAAGAAUGAAGAGUAUUUGAGAGAUUGGUCAUCUUUCUUUGGAAUUAUGGCAAAAUCUCAUCGAAAUUGGUUUUCAAUUCUUCGUUUUGAUUGGUUCAGUCCCAGAAUCCAAAAUAUCCUCGUUUCCUUAGAUUUCUAGGUAGAAUUGGUUGUAAAACACUACGAUUCGAUGAAAACAUGAACCAACAAUGGAUUUUUACUGAAAUCAGCCCUAUUUUUAACAUAUUUUUGUGAUAGUUUUGUGUAUGGGUUGUGUUUUGUUGUGUUUCUUGAUUUGGGUUAAUCGUGAUUCGUUAUUGGUUUGAAAUUUGGGGUCCCGUUUGUCUUGAUCUAUUUGUCGUGAUCAGUUUCGGGCUUCAAUUUCUCGAUUACUGAGAUGGAUUCUGGUUCGUAGUUGUGGUAUUGUUCAAGGCUGAUUCGGGGUUAUUCGGCAAGCAGAUUCGCCUUUUUAAUUGACUGAUAUUUGAAAUAAAAUCGUCAUUGAGGUCCAUUUCUACUCUUUUCCUCUUUUAUUUCAUUGUUUAUAGA
rnacentral:lncRNA from 1 species